CAUCAACUAUUUGACUUCUAAUAGAUUCUAAUCCUAAGAGAAUUAGUUCGAAGGGAUUCAAUCUCUCUUCGGCGGUGAUUGACGGUACGACGACUCUGAAUCUGAAUAAAACCAACUCAAGAAGACUUCAUCCGAAAAACCUUUUUUGUCUCUGAAGAAACUAGUGAUCGCUCAGACCUUAACACUAAAUCCCCAAUCUUCAUCUGAAUACGAUUCAGGCUCUGAAUCAGACUCCCCUUCUACCAAUCCUCGCAUCAAGCCUCUUGCUUCGAAACCCAUGGAAGACAAUCCUCCCAAGCUACUAAGAAACCUAGAUCCAAGCCUGGUUUGGCAAAAUCUGCAGCAAAAAGGACUGCGACGAGCAAGAACAACAACAACUAGGAAUCAAAAAGGGCGAAGAAGAAAGCAGUGGAUUCUGAUGUGGUUAUUCAUGAGGAGUCGGAGAAGAAGACUGGUGAUGAUACGAAGAAGCAAUUGUUUCAGAGGCUAUGGAGUGAAGAGGAUGAGGUUGUGAUUUUGAAAGGUAUCUCUAUGUAUCUCUAUUUUGGGAUGUCUCCAGCAGAGAAGAAAACUGUGCAUAUGUUAUUUAUGCCUCCUAGGUGCUUGAUAAAAUGCCACUAAGAAUGGCUGUGAGUCUUGAAAAGCUAUGUCAAACAAGAAGCGAAAAUAUUCAUGAAGAAGAAUCAAAGAAAGUUGGUCUAUGGCAAAGGAGAAAGCUGCCAAGUCUAAAGCAGCAAAGGAUGUUAUGAUAGUUUUGACACUGAAGAAUGGCCUAGAUUUGGUUUUUGAAGGGAUCACAAUCGUCUCCGGAAUAUUGGGAACAAUAGCAAGAGGUUUUGUUCUGGAUAAAAUGACUAACACAAUCCCCAAUGCUUUUAAGGUAAACACUCUUAAUGGUUGGCUUUAGGAUUACCUUUCUGAAUUUUGAUUUAUUGAAUUCUUGCUUUAUCAUAUUGAGUAAUUAUUUUUCCUGUUUAGAUGUGUGAUCCAUGCUAGUUCACCAUUCAACUAGUAAUUAGUCCUUUAAUAUUCCUUUUAAAUUUUACUUUAGUAAAAUCUGUUUGCCGUGGCAUUUUAAGUCUUCUUAUAAUAAACUAAAUGUUUGAGUGAAUUUCUUAUCAACUUUGAAGUAGAUGCGUGAGUACCUCCGAUAAUGAGUCUGGUUGCUCACCAAGCGCUCGAAGUCCUCCGCGGAACGCCACAGGUACAUCUAGUGACAAGUUUGAUUGUUCAUUGAGCGCUCGUAUUCCGUGGCAGAACGCCACAGGUUUGAGCUUUCCAAACCCUGCAUCAAUUCUAUAUCAUUUUUGGACCAUGUUUUGGUUCUUCCAGCAUGUUAUUCUUGAUGCAUUGCUGGCCAUGAUAAGGCACUGUCGGCCAUGGAUUUUGGCUUGCCGGCCAUUGAAGUGCCCUGCCGGUCAUCAAUUAGGAUGGUCGGCUGGCCACCAGUGCAUCAGUAGAUAUUUUCUGAUAUUUUGUGCCAGCUGUUUGCACAGAUUGGAGCAUCUGCUUGCACAUGGAUGGUUGGAUCACUUUGAGAGGAUUUUGUAUCUUCUAUAUAUAGACGUCUUCCUUUUGCAUGCAAGGGGUUGGAAAUUUUGAAGACAAAAAUUUCUCUCUCUCUCUCUCUCUCUCUCUCUCUCUCUAGAAUCCUCUCUCUUAAAUAUAUUGCCUUAAAGCCUAAAUUCUCUACACUUUUACAUAGAAACCCUUGAUCAAACUUGAUCUUCUUGGUGUUGAGGUUGCUUGAGGUCCUAUUUGGGCUCUAGAAGAGGAUAUUAGCUUGGUUUGCCUUGCCUUUGUUGCCUAAAUAGCAUCUUGUCUUCAAAGAGUACCAUGUGUUGAAAACUCGGACAAAGACUUACAGGAAGUAGGUUAGUGCAUCAUCUAAUAGCAAUUAUAGAACAUGCAAUUGUUUCUAGCACUUUUUUGUUGUUACUAUUUCCAAAUUGUUUUUGGAUUUGGAUUAUUGCUCUUAUCUGUUGUUGCAAGUAAGGAACAUGGAAGAAAAGCAUGGAAAUCUCCUACUGGACUAUUUUUUCUUUGAAAGUGAGGAAUGCUGAUGGUGGAUAUGAUGGAGGGGAAGCUUUACAGAUUACUGUGUAUGAUUAUUUUACCAAACACCAUAACAUUGAACUUACUUAUUCCACAUUCAUGCCAUGCCUUGAUGUUGGAAAACCAAAACGGCCUAACUAUCAUCCGCUAGAGACAAGAAAUGCAACAGGGUUAGUUGUUCUAGCUACUGCCGCGGGUUUAGGUGCCUCAACACAUACAUUGGGCACCCUCGUCCCUAUGAUAGGAGCAGUUGCAAUUGCUAUAGGAACUGUUGUUGGUAGUUUUAUAUAAUCUCUUAAUAGUUGUCGAUAUGUUUAGAAAGUUAGAUAUGUAUAGUUUUCGAUGGAUUAAACUUUUUGUACAGUUUAGAAAUUAAGGAUAUAGUUUUCGAAUGUUUAGAUUGUAUAGAAAAUUGUUGAAUGUUUAUAAUUUAUGGAUAUAGUUUCUUUUUGAUGUUUCAAACAAUAUUUUGGUGGUUAAUUGAUGUUUUGUGAUGCUUGUUUGUAAUAUUUGUUAGAUUGUACAAGAUUGGUCAAAUAGAACCUGUUGAAUUUAAAUAAAAAAAAAACUGCAUAUUCUACGACAGGCAUA